rnacentral:rRNA from 1 species
UACCAGCACCCCGAGUGGUCGGGACGAUUAUUGGGCCUAAAGCAUCCGUAGCCGGUUCUGCAAGUCCUCCGUUAAAUCCAACUGCUUAACAGAUGGGCCGCGGAGGAUACUACAGAGCUAGGAGGCAGGAGAGGCAAGCGGUACUCAGUGGGUAGGGGUAAAAUCCGUUGAUCCAUUGAAGACCACCAGUGGCGAAGGCGGCUUGCCAGAAUGCGCUCGACGGUGAGGGAUGAAAGCUGGGGGAGCAAACAGG